AGGUCAUGGCUAGAGAUAUCCAUGCUAGAGCAUCUAGCAUAGAUGCUUUAGGGGAUUCUGCUGGUGUCUUUGUCCAGCCAAUCUUCAUUCACGACGGGGAUACAAGUGAGAAAGUUGGUGUGCCACAACAGGUGGAAAGACAAGGUUCUGCCACAUUAUAUGUGGAAGAACAAGGAGGAAGUUAUCUCAGAUGUGGAAGAAUCUGUUCAGCAUGGCAUUUCAAAGUUCCACUUAUUCACGAAGCGUUCUGAAGAGAUUGGGAGUAUCCAGAAGCGUGAUAAACUCAUUGUUGACAUUGUCGCCUUCCUAAAAAAAUGUUUUCCCUUUGCGGUGAGUAUAUUCCAUCUAUUAUAAUUCUCUUGAGAUUUACUAAAGCUCGUUAUUGACUACGUUGAAACUACUUGAGAUUUACUAAAGCUCAUUAUGGAGUACUCUCAAAUUGUUUGACAAACUUCGAUUGCGGAUAUAGAGUCACUGAUGCAGCCAAGAAAGAACCGAGUAUCUAAACCCUUACUCUUUAAGAAUACCUUCUAAUAUGUUGUUCUUAUAAAUAAUAAUCAUCAUAUCUAUUGUAGUCAUUUCUAAUAUUUAGAAAAUUCUAUCAAUAGCAAAUGUUAUCUCAAUUUCUCUUAAAACCUAAAGCACUGGUUAUGACCUUCUUAGACUGUGACUAAUUUUUUGAAUGAAAAUUUGUACCGAAUCAUACUUUUGUUCGUAAAGAUAUCGUCUUUAAGCCUGCCCAAUAUAUUAACUUAUGACAAGAAUUUCUGAUAGAUACAAUCUUCUCCUGGAAGUCGUGUAGUCUUAAUUUCUUCGAUGUGUAACUUUGCUAUUUUUCUACGAGGGAUACUUUUCCAAAUAACAAGAAAGAGCGUUAGUUUAGUUAAUCCAUGUAUAGUCACUCAAAUAGCAUUAUGAUCAUUAUUGUCCAAGGUACUAUCACAAAGUGUACACAUAUCCAUUUCUUUCUUGUGUCCACUCAAGAAUGAAUAACGGUUGUACUAAAAAAAUGAUCUAUGUAUUUCUACUUUAUUUUGUCAAUAAAUCAUACAUUUGCAUUCAUAUUCAACAAUACUUUAUUUCAUAUUCUUUCAAUAAUAGUUGAUUCCAAAUUGCCCUAUAUCCUCAUACUUAUGGGUACAAUGUAUCUAGCUUGAGAUGAACUUCAUCCAAAAUUUCUUGUUUCAAGAUGUAUUCCAUGAUACAAAUUCUUCUUUGUAUGUUAGGAUUCUAUCUUUUAGACACCCAAGGACCAUCUCCAAGUCUUUAACUACUUUCAUUUGAUAUCCACAUUCUCCUUUAAUUUUUUCAUCCCGAGUAAACUAUUAGGCCUUGUCAUAAAGUUCUGAACAAAUAUAUUGGUUUAUCUACUAAAUUUUGGAUUUCUAAUUAUCUGUUAUCUCAAGUGAUUCUUGUGUUUUAUUUUCCCUCCCACUAAGCUCAGACUGUUGUUGUUUUAACUCGAAGAAUUGACGACAACAUUACCUUAGUAACCAUACAAUCACAAUCCUUCAAAUUAUUCGUUCAUCUUCUAAGCUCCAUUUCUUUUGAGAAUAUAUUACAACAUUUUUCUAGAAUAACAUUUUUUUUUGAAUUUUCAACUUUUAAUUGCUAGGGUAUUACAACAUCAAAUAACUUCCAACAAUAAAUUAUAUUGAACAUUGUGUUUUUCGUUUGUAGUACUAUGCCAGAGGGCCUUAGGCUACGCCUACAGUGAGUUUCUGUGCUAGUUUUUAAGAAUCUUGAACCAUACUACAUUUCUCAAAUACGUGGGGAGCUGACGUACAAGGGGUAUACGGAUGUGCAGAUCCUUAUGCAUUUUGCAAGGUACACAUUAUAGAGGCUUGUCUAUCUUGUUAAAUAUCUCCCGUAUGAUAUAAUUAAUGACGUUUUUACUUUUUUAUGAACAACUUUAGAAACUGUAAUCUUAUACCUAGACUAGAGGACGGGGCUAAGUAUGAAUUAGUUUGUUGUUAGUAUUUUAAUGGUUAAAUCAAUGAUUGGGAUAUUACUAAUUUGUUUUUUAUGAUUACAUGUUGUAAUCGGGCAGAGGAGAAUGAUGAAAGCAUCAUAUGAUGUGUGGUGGAGUACAUUGAGGCCGGUGUUGAUCGCUAUCUUUUUCGUUUCCCAUUAUUCUCUUUUGUUGCUGCCCUACUUCUAAUUUCUAAUAGAUACACCUACUUGUUAAUGAAUGUAGCUGAAAUUUCCAACGACAUCGGGCAUCAGAAAGGUCAUUACCUCAUUGUUGGUUCGCCUGGCCGGAGUACACCUGAACAUCUUCUUCGUAAGAAAAUAACUCUAAUUCCUUCAAAACUUGAAUGUCCUUUUGUGAUUCCUUCUAUUUGCUUAAUUGCGAUUUUUCUAUUACCAAGAUUUUUUAUUUUCGUUUCUGUUGGUGAAUAAUUUUUAUUACACAAUUGAUGGUCAAUUCACGUAUAAUCUUAAUAUUAGGUUUUUUCUAUAUUGGUCCUCAAAUCUAAGCUAUAAUUAAAUAAGUCCCCUAAAUCUCUGAUAUUUUAAUUAAGUCUCUCAAAUCUCCAGCUUAGAUUUAGGGGACUUAUUUAAUUAUAUCUUAGAUUUGAGGACCAAUAUAGAAAAAACCUAAUAUUAAGAUUAUACGUGAAUUGACCAUCAAUUGUGUAAUAAAAAUUAUUCACCAACAGAAACGAAAAUAAAAAAUCUUGGUAAUAGAAAAAUCGCAAUUAAGCAAAUAGAAGGAAUCACAAAAGGACAUUCAAGUUUUGAAGGAAUUAGAGUUAUUUUCUUACGAAGAAGAUGUUCAGGUGUACUCCGGCCAGGCGAACCAACAAUGAGGUAAUGACCUUUCUGAUGCCCGAUGUCGUUGGAAAUUUCAGCUACAUUCAUUAACAAGUAGGUGUAUCUAUUAGAAAUUAGAAGUAGGGCAGUAACAAAAGAGAAUAAUGGGAAACGAAAAAGAUAGCGAUCAACACUGGCUUCAAUGUACUCCACCACACAUCAUAUGAUGCUUUCAUCAUUCUCCCCUGCCCGAUUACAACAUGUAAUCAUAAAAAACAAAUUAGUAAUAUCCCAAUCAUCGAUUUAACCAUUAAAAUACUAACAACAAACUAAUUCAUACUUAGCCCCGUCCUCUAGUCUGGGUAUAAGAUUACAGUUUCUAAAGCUGUUCAUAAAAAAGUAAAAACGUCAUUAAUUAUAUCAUACGGGAGAUAUUUAACAAGAUAGACAAGCCUCUAUAAUUUGUACCUUGCAAAAUGCAUAAGGAUCUGCACAACCGUAUACCCCUUGUACGUCGGCUCCCCACGUAUUUGAGAAAUGUAGUAUGGUUCAAGAUUCUUAAAAACUAGCACAGAAACUCCACUGUAGGCGUCCUACGGCCCUCUGGCAUAGUACUACAAACGAAAAACACAAUGUUCAAUAUAAUUUAUUGUUGGAAGUUAUUUGAUGUUGUAAUACCCUAGCAAUUAAAAGUUGAAAAUUCAAAAAAAAAUGUUGUUCUAGAAAAAUGUUGUAAUAUAUUCUCAAAAGAAAUGGAGCUUCGAAGAUGAACGGAUAAUUUGAAGGAUUGUGAUUGUAUGGUUACUAAGGUAAUGUUGUCGUCAAUUCUUUGAGUUAAAACAACAACAGUCUGAGCUUAGUGGGAGGGAAAAUAAAACACAAGAAUCACUUGAGAUAACAGAUAAUUAGAAAUCCAAAAUUUAGUAGAUAAACCAAUAUAUUUGUUCAGAACUUUAUGACAAGGCCUAAUAGUUUACUUGGGAUGAAAAAUUUUAAAGGAGAAUGUGGAUAUCAAAUGAAAGUAGCUGAAGGCUUAGAGACAGUCCUUGAGUGUCUAAAAGAUAGAAUCCUAACAUACAAAGAAGAAUUUGUAUCAUGGAACGCAUCUUGAAACAAGAAAUUUUGGAUGUUCAUCUCAAGCUAGAUACAUUGUAUCCAUAAGUACGAGGAUAUAGGGCAAUUUGGAAUCAACUAUUAUUGAAAGAAUAUGAAAUAAAGUAUUGUUGAAUAUGAAUGCAAAUGUAUGAUUUAUUGACAAAAUAAAGUAGAAAUACAUAGAUCAUUUUUUUAGUACAACCGUUAUUCAUUCUUGAGUGGACACAAGAAAGAAAUGGAUAUGUGUACACUUUGUGAUAGUACCUUGGACAAUAAUGAUCAUAAUGCUAUUUGGGUGACUAUACAGGGAUUAACUAAACUAACGCUCUUUCUUGUUAUUUGGAAAAGUAUCCCUUGUAGAAAAAUAGCAAAGUUACACAUCGAAGAAAUUAAGACCACACAACUUCCAGGAGAAGAUUGUAUCUAUCAAAAUUCUUGUCAUAAGUUAAUAUAUUGGGAAGGCUUAAAGACGAUAUCUUUAGGAACAAAAGUAUGAUUCGGUACAAAUUUUCAUUCAAAAAAUUAGUCACAGUCUAAGAAGGUCAUAACCAUUGCUUUUGGUUUUAAGAGAAAUUGAGAUGACAUUUGCUAUUGAUAGAAUUUUCUAAGUAUUAGAAAUGACUACAAUAGAUAUGAUUAUUAUUAUUUAUAAGAACAACAUAUUAGAAGGUAUUCUCGAAGAUUAAGGGUUUAGAUACUCGGUUCUUUCUUGGCUGCAUCAAUGACUCUAUAUCCGCAAUCAAAGUUUGUCAAACAAUUUGAGAGUACUCAAUGAUGAGCUUUAGUAAAUCUCAAGUAGUUUCAACGUAGUCUAUAAUUAGCUUUAGUAAAUCUCAAGAGAAAUAGAUGGAAUAUACUCACCGCAUAGCGAAAUGGACACAUUUGGAGAAUCUUUGUAUUAGAGAGUAGUACAAAGCAGCACUUCAUGCAUCAUAUGAGGUUUGUUGCUUGUGAUCUCGCAUUAUUGAGUCUAUGCUCAUUGUAUCUCCCUCCUCUACCUUGCUUUCUUUGUAUACUUGUGCACAAACCCAAUCUCUCUUUAUCUCACCGAGAGAAUGCAACUAUAAGUUCAGAAGCCCACAUACUCUGCAUUAAUGUUGCUAGCUCAUAAUACUUACAAUAAUAUCAAAGUACAUGUAAUUUUGUUAUGACUACGAGUUCUCCAGUGAAUAAGGUCUUUUUUUAGGUCAUGUGUUAAGAUGGUAACAAUUACUUGAUGUCUUUUAUGCGAGGUGUUUGAGAGAAAAGGACAAUCCGAAA